rfam:Candidatus Saccharibacteria bacterium RIFCSPHIGHO2_12_FTLL_44_22 rifcsphigho2_12_scaffold_2122, whole genome shotgun sequence.
UAAUAAUAGGUGACAUUACCAGAGACAGUGGCGGCAACGAGAAAUCAAUGCUUAAUCAGCUACCGAGGUGCAAACAAUCUUUUGUGAACACAGUAGGUCUUUGGUGAUGCGAGCAUCAAAGGCUUUUUGUUUAUUCAA